CCUACGGGAGGCAGCAGUGGGGGAUAUUGCACAAUGGGCGGAAGCCUGAUGCAGCGACGCCGCGUGUGUGAAGAAGCGCCUCGGCGCGUAAAGUCCUGUCAGCAGGGACGAAAAUGACGGUACUUGAAGAAUAAGCCCCGGCUAACUACGUGCCAGCAGCCGCGGUAAUACUGAGGGGGUAAGAGUCAUCCGGAUUUACUGGGUGUAAAGGGGGCGCAGACGGCGACGCAAGCCAGAAGUGAAAGCACGGGGCGCAACCCCGGGACUGCUCUUGGAACUGCGAGGCUGGAGUGCAGGAGGGGCAGGAGGAAUUCCUGGUGGAGCGGUGAAAUGCGUAGAUAUCAGGAGGAACACCGGUGGCGAAGGCGGCCUGCUGGACUGCAACUGACGUUGAGGCCCGAAAGCGUGGGGAGCAAACAGGAUUAGAUACCCCUGUAGUC
rnacentral:rRNA from 1 species